rnacentral:pre_miRNA from 1 species
CUUUCCCGCCGGAUCUCCCAAUGAGGAGGCUGGGGCCACCGGAUCCGAUGACCCCAUUCUCCUCGCCGGCGGAUCCAGUGCCCUAGAGA